UACUCGAUGAGCCUGAACACUUUUUUUAUCCUCCUGUCUGUAAUGAUUUAUGGGCAGGAUGAUAAAAAAGUAAUUGCAAGGCUUGAAAAUAG
rnacentral:misc_RNA from 1 species